CCAAUAGAUCGCUAGGGUUCCGACACCAUCAACGUAUAACCCCUGAUGGCUGUGGCUGGUCCGAGAGCAAUCGACCUAACGCUAAGGCGUGAGGUUACACGGCGGGACAAAAGCCCGGGAGGA
rnacentral:sRNA from 2 species